GGGACAGUACGGUGUCGUUGCUGUCGUUUGUUUCAAAGCAAUACUGCCACCUGUUGGUAUAAAAAGACAGCUUUAUCUCAAUGUUUUUUCUGAAAGUCUUAAUGCUGGAAUGAGGCCCAGAUAACCAUGGGCGGAAAUUAAACUGAUGUUAAUUUAGUAUUGACACUCUGCCUGUCCUUCCCAAACUUCCCCUAAAGACAUAGCUCACAGGAGUCUUAAAAUUAUGCCAUAAAAUAAAAUAGACGAAAGAGUAUUACCAGUACCUUAGAAAGCUGGAAUGGUUGACUUCUGUGUUUGCUUAAGAGAAACUUCCACUUUCAUUGCCUCAUUGUUCACUUUCAUUCCACGUAAGAUUUUAAGAUCAAAAAACACUUUUUCGGCUGGGCGAGAUGGCUCACUCCUGUAAUCCCAGCACUUUGGGAGGCGGUCGGAUCGCUUCAGCCCAGGACUUCUAGACCAGCCUGGGCAACAUGGUGAAACCCCGUCUCUACAAACAACACAAAAGAAAAAUUAGCAGGGCGUGGUGGUGCCCGCCUGUGGUCCCAGCUACUCAUGGAGGCAGAGGCGGGAGGAUCGCUUGAACCCGGGGGCUGCACUGAGCCAUGAUUGUGCCACUGCAUUCCAGCCUGAGCUACAAAGCAAGACCUUGUCUCAAAAAAAAAAAAGGUAAUAAUAAUAAUAAUACAUAUAAAUAAAUAAA
rnacentral:lncRNA from 1 species